GAUGAACGCUGGCGGCGCGCCUAACACAUGCAAGUCGAACGGAGCGACGAGAAGCUUGCUUUUCUUAGCUUAGCGGCGAACGGGUGAGUAACACGUGAGUAACCUACCCUGGAGAGUGGGACAACAGCUGGAAACCAGUGCUAAUACCGCAUAAGCUUACGAACCGCAAUGGUAAAGAGGGAAAAGGGGUUUUUCGCUUAAGGAUAGACGGAUGCGCGUUGCGUUAGUUAGUUGGGAAGGUGACGGCCUACCAGAGCAACGAUGCGUAGCCGACCUGAGAGGGUCAACUGCCACACUGACACUGAGACACGGCCCAGACUCCUACGCGAGGAAGCAGUCGGGAAUCUUCCGCGAUGGGCGAAAGCCUGAUGGAGCACCGCCGCGUGAAUGCUGAAGGACUUCGGCUUGUAAAAGGCAGUAAGUAGGGAGGAAGAAAUCUGUAAGCAUCAGUGAACAUAUUGACGGUACCUAACAAGAAAGCACCGGCUAACUACGUG
rnacentral:rRNA from 1 species